rnacentral:lncRNA from 1 species
AAAGAUCCUCACCAACAAGAUCAAUGCACUUGAUCUGGUGAAAAGAUAUUAUUAAACACUGAAAAGGAUUUUAAGACUGCAGAGUUCUGGAGCCUGACUGCAGGGGUGAAAUCCUAAAUCCACCAUGUGGUGGGUGUGUGACCUUGAAGAAGUUACUUAAACUCUCUCCGCCCUCAGUGUCUAUAUUGACAUCUCCUUGGCUUUUCUGAGCACCUUGUUCUCCUCAAGAUACCAUAGACUCCCUACCCCAUCUCAAACAUACUGGGGUGUUUUUUACCUAUCUACCACCGAUCUUGCCACAGGUCAUAUUCAUACGUAUCUCGAGAUUAUCAAGAAACCAAGGUUGGUUGAAGCAGGACAAGGAAGAGCAGUUACAAGGUAGUGAGAGAUAUUGCAAGAAAGCCAAUGUCUCAGGACAAAAGAAAUACCUCUACCAUCUUACAUAUUGAAUCAAGUUAUUGCCAUUUUACAUAUCUGGAGAGA